CCGCCCAUAGCUCAGUUGGUAGAGCAGCCGGCUCUUAACCGGGAGGUCCUAGGUUCGAGUCCUAGUGGGCGGA
rnacentral:tRNA from 1 species